GAUGGAUGGAAUACCGAUACAGACAAGUUUCUGCUCCUCAAAAACGAUACCAAUAACUGAUUUUUGAAAAGAUUUUGCCAAAUUCGAAAGGGAUAAGCUUUCUUUCUUCCUUCCACCUGAAAAUGGCUGUCCACCAACGUUCACCCUCCAACUGGAUAGAACUAGAGAGGGUCUGACGGGAAGAAUGGCAGAGGAUCCCCAAAUGCAGGAACAGGCGGCGGAUGAUUGCUAACCCUGUGGAGCGUCACAACGGCUGAGAUGGCGGCAGAAGGCUGCAGCAGAAACGGGUUUCCCAGUCGUCUUGGACUCCAUGCCACCGGACCUUGACCCGGACCUGUGAAGGAUCGUGUGGUGACUUGAACCAGUCUCCCCACGUUAGACUAAGUCACGCACAGGCAUCCUCCAUAAAGGGAUACCCCCCUUACCAGGAGGAUCGUCAGACUCGCUUCGAGUGACCGCUGACGACUAGGCCUGUGUCUAUUACCUUUUCUGUGCACGUAACGAUUGGAGGAUGCAGGUCAAAAUUAGGUGUGUAAAUAUUUGUAAAAAAAAUAAUUUCAAAAUGCACUUCUCAAUUCUGAAUAUGUUUAUUCCAUGUAUGAAAGGAUGUCUG